CCAGGAUCGAACCCACAUCCUCGGGGAUACUGGUUGGGUUCGUUUCUGCUGCGUCACAAUAGGAACUCCAUAUUGCAUGUAGAUUUUAAAGGAGUAGUUCAAGCAUUAGUAUACUAAAAACAAACACUGUUAAAAGCCCUAAUUUUUUUGACCUUGAAUUUUUUGGCUUUCUUUUGUUUAUUUCCUCAUCAUCCAGAAACCUGACAAUAAGCAAGAGAUCUCUCCCCUGCCCCGAGAGGCUUCCCAGCCUGGCUGGACCCUUUUCCUUCAUUGCCUUUGUCACCAGGUGCCAUGCGGCCCUGAGUGAAGCAAGCAAAACUUGUCCAGAGCUUCCAGCAGAAGCCUGCGCUGGAAGGCAGAAUGACUCAGGCAGCUGGCCCUUGCUCAGGGGCGUUUCUUGGUGGCUCUGGGCCUGGGCAGCCUGUGGCCCUGUUGUCUGGGGUGACAAAGUCACAGGUCAGGGCUGCCUCCGUCUCCUUCCACCCACAGUGAACUCAGGCUUUCCUCACUCCCAUCUCCUGCACCAGACUUUUCGGGGAGCUUUUCUUCCCACCAGUCUCUGACUCUUCUACACGCCAGAGCUCUGGGGGCCGGCCAGGCUCCUCUCAGAACCCAGGGCGGGGGCAGCAGGCAGGGCUGAGGCGGGGAGGUUCCCGAGGAGAGCCUCCCAGGCCUGUUCUAUGGAGAAACUGGAUCCGUUCAAUUCUCCUUUUCUUAGCCCUGAGGCUGAACCGUUCUGUGUGUGUGUGUGUGUGUGUGUGUGCACGCGCGCGCAUGCUUGCAUGCUUCUUUUUUCAGGAAAUUGCACUCGUUUCUAAGACUUUUCUCAUUGGGCAAUCACCCUUCCAGCUGGAGCCUGGGCAGCCCCCAGAGUCUAAAUCUCCCAACCAGAAUCAUGACAGACAAGAGGUCCCUGGUCUUCCUCACAAAGCCCGAAGUCACACCGUCUUAUGUUCCUGUCUUCUAGAACUUUCUGUCCAGUCAUAAGCUCCCUUAAGCUUGGCCAGAGGGCAGCCCUCUGGAAGGCAAGGAUCCUUGCAGGGACCUCUUGCCAACCUGGGAUGAUUUUGAAGUGGCUUUAAAAAGAAAUAUGCCUGCAAUAAAAAUGAAAUGCUUUGCCCCCAGAGCUGAGAAUUAUGACCUCCAAAGCUUGGGAGCGGGGUUGCUUUCUUCUCUUUCUUUCCAAAAGACAAGUGGCUUGGACCAGUGAGACUGAGAAAGUCAGAGGUACAGGGAGGACACUGUGCAGAUGGGAAAGCUAUUUUUCCCUCCCCUGCCUAAUUAAGUUCUAAAGAGCAAAGACAUCCUUCCAGCUUUUGCACUCGUUCAUCCCCUUCCUGCUCAGGCUGGACGCAGGACACAUGAUUUCUUUUGGCUCCACCAUCACAGUGGGAAAAUGCACUUUCCCUUUCCUUGUACAGUUGGGGAGGUGUGUGAGAGGGUGAGAGACAAGAGGCAGUGUGUGUGUGUGUUUGUGUGUGCGUGUGCGUGUCCCUCCUGGUGUCUGGUCACUAUGUGGUCUAGCGCUGCACCUCCUGUGCAGCCAGAGUGGAGGUGAAUGGACAGGAUGCCUUUGUACUGUGUGUGUAGUUUGUGUGUGUGCAUGUGGAGUGGAAGCGUAGCCUCUGUGUGACACGUGUGUAUGCCUGUGAUGGUGUGUGACAAAACGUGAAAGGUUCAGAGAAAUGGGUUCUAGAGUAGGGUUUCUCUGGGAACCUGAUUUGUAGAAAUGCUGUGUGUGGUGUUUGUCUGCCCUACAACCAACACCCGUACCAAGAAAGUUUAACUUUGCAGCAAAACAAAGACAUGGAUAGAGAAUGAUGAAGAGAAGAAAGAGGGUGGAGAAGAAAUGAGGAAGAAUUAAUUUGAGUUCCUUUGAAAGGAGAGAUGUUUGGUGGGUGGAAGGAAAAGAUAGAGACUAGAUCAAUAACAAGAAAUAACAAAUGAGGAAGAAUUAAUUUGAGUUCCUUUGAAAGGGGAGACGUUUGGUGGGUGGAAGGAAGGAAGGAAAAGAUAGAGACUAGAUCAGUAACAAGGUUGGACGGAGCAGGAGACUGGCUGGAGGCAGGAGUCUUCCUCCCCAUCUCCCAC